rnacentral:rRNA from 1 species
GACGAACGCUGGCGGCGUGCUUAAUACAUGCAAGUCGAACGGAAAGGCGCUGAUCUUGCUGGGUGCUCGAGUGCCGAAGGGGUGAGUAACACGCGUGUAUCCCGCCCCUGUCUUUGUGAUAUCAUCUGGAAACUGGGGCUAUUAUCGCAUAGGAGCUCCUGCUGCACGUUGGUGGAUGGAAAGUUUCGGCGGUUGUGGCUCGUCUCGCGGCUUACCCGCCUCUUGGUCGGGUAGGGGCUUUCGAAGGUUUUGACGGCUAGCCGGCCUGGGCGAGUGGCCAGGCACAUGAGGACUGAGAUACGCACCAGACGCCUACGUGAGGCAGCAGUGGGGAGUAUUGCACAGUGGGCGGGAGCCUGAUGCAGCAACGCCGCGUGCGGGAUGACGGCCUUCGGGUUGUAAACCGCUUUCGCCUGUGACGAAGCGUGAGUGACGGUAAUGGGUAAAGAAGCACCGGCUAACUACGUG